CCCUUUCUCCUACCCUCUCUCCUCUUCCUCCAUCCAUUUCCUCUCCCUCCUUCCCUUUUCUUUUUCCUUUCUCUUUCUCACUACUCCCUUCCCUCUCUUCUUCUCUCCCACCUCCCUCCUUCUCCCUCAGUCUCUUUCAGUACCAUGUGACAAGUUCAAUGGCCAGCACUGGAAACACCAAGCUGAAUUCCAGGGGGUCAGCGAUUAGCACCCAACAAUUCCAGUGCCUUCAUUCACAUUUGCAUUGCUAAGCAGUUAGGCACCUACAACUAACUUAGUUUGCCUUCAUUCCUAGGACUUGUUUGACUGUGCUCUGUGUCCCGUGAUCUUUUGCUCUGUUCCUGUGUGUCCUGUUUCAGGGAGGGUAGACCUGCAUCUUUCUUCUUUGUACACACUGGGACAAGACGACUGCUUCAUUGAUUCUUGAGCAAGAGGAACCGUGAAAGAAAGCCAAUUUUUGAUGUUGAAGUGACGUAGCAUUUCUGCUGUAGUUGGAAAUAGCACUGUCUCUCCAGUGUCCCAAAUUCACUUCCAUUAAACGGUCGAUGUGAUAAAUGUCUGUGACAUGUUCUAUUACCUUUCUAGUUGUUCCUGUGUUCCUUUCAGCUGGCCCUAUAACCCCCUUUCUCAGGAAUGUCUCCCCAGUGAAAGGAAAAAAAAGACUGCAGAGACUGCAGACUGAUGGACGCUCGUGCCAACCCAUGGAGUUGAAACAAAGCAAGUGACCAGCUGAGGAGGCCCCUCCUGCCCAUCAGCCACCCACACGGUGCAGUUGCAGCUAACAGUAAUCUUUGCAAGAAACAGAGAAAUCCAGAACACCCAUGAGUCAAAAAUGUCCCUUUCCUUGUGUGUAUCCCCCUGUCUUCAUUCAGAUUGGUGUGCCUUCCAUUUUGAUCCUGGUACGCAUCUGCUUUUUAGUCAGCAAGUGUCAAGGCAACUUUGCCCACGUGUGUUCAUGUAUGAAGAGACUACAUUUUCUGGGGAGAGAGAUUUUGAUCAAAACAUAGUGCUCUUGAGAGUGAUCUAGAAAGUGAAAAGCAUUUUGGAAGGACAGCAAAGCCGUCACAGGCGAUCCACCGAGAUGCUCAUACCACCAUGCAGAAACACCACACCAUGUCCCCAGAGUCUGAGCAGCAAGCUUGGCUCUGUGACAUAUGGCGGCUGCUUCCGAGGGUGGACAUCAAGCUAGAUGAAGGUACAGAAGCAACCUAAAAUGUAGUGAUAAACUGAGUCAGGAGACAGUAAGAACACGAAAGACAGUGUGCUUGGAGGAGGCCAAAUUGGUUUGCUUAAGGAAGGACGCUCCCCUGAAGAGAGAAUAGGAAAUAAAACUUGAAAGGAUGUGAAAACAAAGUUAGAUAUGUGGAAGAUAGGAGAAAAUAGAGUCCUGAGGGCAAACAUAACGGUGAGCAAUGGGAUGGCAGAGGAGAUCCACAUGGUGCAUUUUGGAGACUACACAUCCUCACCUUAACUUGAUUUCACCUGACCUUUGGAACCCCUGUCUGUGUGUCUGGUAGAGAUGCUACAUACAGGUAACUCCCCUCUCCCACCCCAGUUGUCACUUAAACCAAACUAGACCUAAAGUUCCAGUUCUAUGUCACUACAGGGGUGAAGGUGAUUGAUUGGUGGUACCUACGUAGAAUUCCUGAUUUUUCUGUUCAUAGUUGAUUGUUACCAAGUUUAUUCCACACAGGAACUUUUUUACAUAUUAAAUCUCAUGGUAGCUAUGAAAACUACACACCACCCACACUUUGAGGACAAUGAAACUAGUUUUGGUGAGGUUGAGUGCCUGGCCCAGGUGCUACAUGCAGCUAUGCACGUUCAAGGUUGUUGUGGUCAUGAAACUCAGUCCCUAGUCAGACUUUUGUGAUGAGUCCCAACACAGUUGUCACCUUUUCCAUAGCUCUUAAUGCCCGUCUACAGAUAUACAUGGCUCUUCUGCUGACUUAUGGCCACCAUGUCUCCUACUUUUGUAGCUGAAUUGUACCAGAGUGAUAAAAACAUAUUUCCAUGGAAGAAAAUUGAGAACUUAGUGAAGUACACUGCCUGCCUGCAGUUUGUACAUUUCCUCUUGAGUUUGGUCUGAUAUGAGACUUUCGAUUUAGUUCUGCCUGAAACCUCAGUUUUAAGAGCAGUAAGGCCAGGGCCUUAGGUUACCUGUUAACAGUAUCUUUUUGACAGAAAAUGUAAAUCUACAGCCUGUAAUCAGAGUGACUUACAAACAAACAAACAAAACCAAAAAGAACCAAACAAACAACCACCCCCACCAAACAAUAAAACAAACAACCGCCCUCCAUACACACACAUACUUGGAAGUGGCCCAACAAAGACCCAAAACUAAACCCUCAUUGUUUAUCUUUCAGUGGCUUUUAAAUUACUCUACCAUUUCCUAAAGAAACAUGAACUGGUACUUGGUUAAAGGCACAAACGCUGCAUAGAGUGAAUCCAGUAGAAUCUAGUUCCUUCCCUCCUUGGCAUUGAUAUCAAUGUUAAAUACAGCUAUGAACUAGUGUAUUUAAGUCAAGAAGUUGUCAAUGAUUUGUCUCCAAGGAACACAAAAUAGCCAAAGUCGUACGUAUACUCUAUCUUUAAUUCUUCCAAUCAUGAAGUCAUUAGUACACCUGCACCAAUCCAGUCUUCCAUUGUACAUCUUCUCAACCAAUCUGACCAAUGGCAAUCAUUUGCAAGUGCUAUAAAUGUCUAUCUAUGGCUGUUUCAGGAACGAAUACCACUAGUCAUUUGCUGGUGUAACUAAUUCAAGACAACUUUGACCAUAAAAACCUAGAACUAAAAAUCCCAUUCUGGCUUUCAGCCACUCUGCAUUUGAUUGACAUUUAACAGUGAUUACUAAAUUGCCCGUAUAGAUAAUUGUGAUUUUUGUCUUCAAUGAGACAGUUAAGCUGGGCAGGCUAAGGGACAGACGUCUAACUUUUUGAGGUACCUGGAUAUUUAGCUGAUGUAAUUUUCUUUUAGCUGUUUGACAUUGUCAUAUAUAGUCCUGCUCAUGGAUCUAUCUUAUUUUUUUCAAAAUGCUUGUUGGCUCUGCCUAACACUGUCCCCACUGAUCUGGAUCUCAUAAAUGAACAGGUUUGUUGUUAAAGAGUAGCCCAAGCACCAAGUGUGAUGUUGUUGAUGUUUUACAAGACUUUCCUUGGUCCCUGACUCCCAAUAAAAGAAAUGUUGCAUUAACUGUGAA
rnacentral:lncRNA from 1 species